AUGUACCUCUAGGUAAGGAAUAACGUCGGGAAACCGGCGCUAAUACCUUAUAAUGACUCCGGUCCAAAGAUUUAUCGCCUAGAGAUCAGCCCGCGUUAGAUUAGAUAGUUGGUGAGGUAACGGCUCACCAAGUCGACGAUCUAUAGGGGGUCUGAGAGGAUGAUCCCCCACACUGGUACUGAGACACGGACCAGACUCCUACGGGAGGCAGCAGUGAGGAAUAUUGGACAAUGGAGGAAACUCUGAUCCAGCCAUGCCGCGUGAGUGAAGAAGGCCUUAGGGUUGUAAAGCUCUUUCAAUUGUGAAGAUAAUGACGGUAGCAAUACAAGAAGCUCCGGCUAAAUUCGUGCCAGCAGCCGCGGUAAUACGAAUGGAGCAAGCGUUGUUCGGAAUCACUGGGCUUAAAGCGUAUGUAGGCGGACUUGAAAGUCAGAAGUGAAAUCCCGGGGCUCAACCCCGGAACUGCUUUUGAAACUCCAAGUCUAGAAUCCUGGAGAGGUUGGGAGAAUUCCGAGUGUAGAGGUGAAAUUCGCAGAUAUUCGGAGGAAUACCAGUGGCGUAGGCGCCCAACUGGACAGGUAUUGACGCUCAGAUACGAAAGCGUGGGGAGCAAACAGGAUUAGAUACCCUGGUAGUCCACACCGUAAACGAUGUGUGCUAGUUGUCAGGCCCAAAGGGUUUGGUGACGGAGAGAAAUCAUUAAGCACACCGCCUGGGGAGUACGGCCGCAAGGUUAAAACUCAAAGGAAUUGACGGGGACCCGCACAAGCGGUGGAGCAUGUUGUUUAAUUCGAAGCAACGCGAAGAACCUUACCCACACUUAAC
rnacentral:rRNA from 1 species